AUGGGUGACGCAAUGUUAAUGCAGUUUUGUCUCUGCAAAGGCUAUGCUCGGAUGAUAGAUGGGAGAGGUUUCUACGCUAUAUGGAUUAUAAGACCAAUCGCCGCACUGCAAAAGUUGAUGCAAAAAAAAGACAAAACGCAUCUUGUUAAAAAAACAGUUUUGCUGAGUCUCAACCAUCUCAGACAGCGUCCUUUAAAUUUGCAAGGAGAUUCAUCCAAAUUUUUUAUGUUUUCCUUUUUUCUUUUUAAUUACUAUAUCUAUAUCUAUAUCUAUAUCUAUAUCUAUAUCUAUAUCUAUACCUCUAUACCUACUAAUAAAGCAAGGUGA
rnacentral:rRNA from 1 species